UGUGCUCACUGGAGAGACAGAGACAGAAAGUGAGAAAUCACCGAGACCUCGCCCAUUCAGAGACCUCUCAUUCGCACUGAGACUGCUCUCAUUCACAGAGACCUCUCAUUCGCACCAAGACCUGGCCCUCGCCCUCCACAGAUUCAAGCGUGAUUCUUCCUUCCUCCGGUAAAGGAAGAAGCCGUUCAAGGCCCCCUCUCUGUCCCGUUGCCAUGAUGCAAAGAGGAGUCAGCCUCCAGACCAAGCUGGGCCCGUAUGCGCGUGUGUAAUCUUGCAUACACAGGCGGAAGCAAACCAGAGACAACCUGGCCCUGGGCUCCCACGGGAUAGAGGACUGGACCGUGAAACGCGACCUAAAGGAGAGCAGCCUGGUGAUGUGGGAGCCGUUAAUCCCCACGUGAAGGAUGAGCAAGCUGAGGCACAGUGGAAUUAAACUAUCGGAAGCUACACAGAUGGUCGGGACUGCACUCAGCCCCGUGUCUCCGUCCCAAAGUGCCACUGCUCCAGAAAGCUAGCGCUCGUGGACAGACCCCACUUCUGCUCCGGACGGUGGCCGGACAUACACCUGCUCUGUAUACUGGAGGGCAGUUUGUGGGCUGUUUCCACCCUGCUGUCCCUGGAGGGAGAGAGUGGCUCUGGUCCGUCCUUCCCACUGCUCGCUGAGGGCCAGGCUCUGUCAGCUGACGAGGGUCAUAGCAGUAAGUCAUCGGAAUAAACCGUAUCGUCUGCGAUUAAUGGGCCAAACUCAGAUGAUUGUUGACAAACCUGGGUUAGCAAACUGUUCCUGUAAAGAGCCAGAGGUACAGGGUCCUCGUCUUACUGCACAUGGUCAGAACUUCGCCGUGUUACAGGACAGGCCAAACCAACGAGGGUCCGGCCCUGCCAGCUCCGCGGCUGCAGAAGUCUGAUCUGAGUGAGCAGUGCAAAGGC